rnacentral:rRNA from 1 species
GACGAACCGAGCGAACGUUAUUCGGAAUCACUGGGCUUAAAGGGCGCGUAGGCGGGCUGACAAGUCAGGGGUGAAAUGCCGCGGCUCAACCGUGGAACUGCCUUAGAUACUGACGGCCUCGAGGAAGGUAGGGGCAUGCGGAACUGUAGGUGGAGCGGUGAAAUGCGUUGAUAUCUACAGGAACUCCGGUGGCGAAAGCGGCAUGCUGGACCUUUUCUGACGCUGAGGCGCGAAAGCUAGGGGAGCAAACGGG